ensembl:snRNA U6 U6 spliceosomal RNA
GUGCUUUCAGCAGUACAUAUACAAAAAUUGGGACAGUACAGAGAAGUUUAGCAUGGUCCCUGCUCAAGGAUGACACACAAAUUCAUGAAGCGUUCCAUAUUUUU